UGGGGAAUAUUGCGCAAUGGGGGAAACCCUGACGCAGCGACGCCGCGUGGGCGAUGAAGGCCUUCGGGUCGUAAAGCCCUGUCGAGCGGGACGAAAUGCGUGGGUCCUAACAUGGCCCGCGCUUGACGGUACCGCUGGAGGAAGCCCCGGCUAACUCCGUGCCAGCAGCCGCGGUAAUACGGAGGGGGCUAGCGUUAUUCGGAAUUAUUGGGCGUAAAGGGCGUGUAGGCGGCUUCGUGUGUCCCAUGUGAAAGCCCUCGGCUUAACCGAGGAACUGCAUGGGAAACUGCGGAGCUUGAGUCCGGGAGAGGAGAGCGGAAUUCCCAGUGUAGCGGUGAAAUGCGUAGAUAUUGGGAGGAACACCAGUGGCGAAGGCGGCUCUCUGGACCGGUACUGACGCUGAGACGCGAAAGCCAGGGGAGCAAACGGGAUUAGAUACCCCCGUAGUCC
rnacentral:rRNA from 1 species